rnacentral:rRNA from 1 species
UCAGACGAUGCGUCAUGCAUAUCAAUAAGCGGAGGAAAAGAAACUAACAGGGAUUGCCCUUAGUAACGGCGAGUGAAGCGGGAACAGCUCAAAUUUGAAAUCUUCAAGGUUUUACCUUGACGAAUUGUAGUUUAAAGAAGUGUUUUCUGUUGAAGUUUUGGUAAAAGUUCUUUGGAAUAGGACAUCAUAGAGGGUGAGAAUCCCGUAUUUGACCAUUAUUUUCAGCUGUGUGAUACACUUUCAAAGAGUCGGAUUGUUUGGGAAUGCAGUCCAAAAUGGGUGGUAAAUUUCAUCUAAAGCUAAAUAUUGGCGAGAGACCGAUAGCGAACAAGUACCGUGAGGGAAAGAUGAAAAGAACUUUGAAAAGAGAGUUAAACAGUACGUGAAAUUGUCAAAAGGGAAGCGUUUGACACCAGUGUUGUUUUCUCGAAAAUCAAUUAAAAAGAGUUAGAUUUUGUUGUGUAUUGACCUUAACAGCUUGCAUUUCAAUUUUCUUGCUUUUUUUAAUGCACUUUUCGUUUAACAAGUCAACAUCAGUUUCUUUUGUUGUAAAAAGGUCAUUGGAAGGUGGCUUUCUUUUCGGAGAAAGUGUUUAUAGCCUUUGACUCCUGCAAUCGGAGAGACUGAGGUCUGCAGCGUAGAUCCUUCGGGGUUAGAUACAUUUGUGCUAAGUUAUAGCUUUUUAUAGACAACUUGUUGACUAUGAUUAGUCUUGUAGCUUACUCGCUUAUGCUAUUUUACCUACGCUUAGGAUGUUGAGUCGUAGAGCACGCAG